rnacentral:rRNA from 1 species
GAUGAACGCUGGCGGCGUGCCUAAUACAUGCAAGUCGAGCGAACGGACGAGAAGCUUGCUCCUCUGAUGUUAGCGGCGGACGGGUGAGUAACACGUGGAUAACCUACCUAUAAGACUGGGAUAACUUCGGGAAACCGGAGCUAAUACCGGAUAAUAUUUUGAACCGCAUGGUUCAAAAGUGAAAGACGGUCUUGCUGUCACUUAUAGGUGGAUCCGCGCUGCAUUAGCUAGUUGGUAAGGUAACGGCUUACCAAGGCAACGAUGCAUAGCCGACCUGAGAGGGUGAUCGGCCACACUGGAACUGAGACACGGUCCAGACUCCUACGGGAGGCAGCAGUAGGGAAUCUUCCGCAAUGGGCGAAAGCCUGACGGAGCAACGCCGAGUGAGUGAUGAAGGUCUUCGGAUCGUAAAACUCUGUUAUUAGGGAAGAACAUAUGUGUAAGUAACUGUGCACAUCUUGACGGUACCUAAUCAGAAAGCCACGGCUAACUACGUG